GUUUGUGUUUUAAGACAUUCGAUAAAAUUGGAACGAUACAGAAAAGAUUAGCAUGAUUCCAGCACAAGAAUGAUACACACAAAUCGAGAAAUGAUCCAAAUUUUU
rnacentral:snRNA from 1 species